GAGACUGAGGCAGGGGCGGAAUGAACUAACAGCAGCUGGAUCCGACCUGUUUCCCUGGACAUUCCUCAGACUCCGGAUCAAGGGACUCACUGGAAACAGGCCAGGCAACCACGUUGCCCUGGAUUGUGGCCAACUGUACAAAGUUGACCAGGAAAAUGGCUCAGCAGACGACAAGCCCGGACACCCUUACAGUCCCUGAAGUGGAUAAUCCGCAUGUUCCAAACCCGUGGCUCAAUGAGGAUCUCGUGAAAUCCUGCGGGAAAACCUGUUGCAGCACGAAAAGUCAAAGACAGCGAGGAAAUCCGUUUCUCCCAAGCUCUCCCCGGUGAUUUCUCCCAGGAAUUCCCCGAGGCUCCUGCGCAGGAUGCUUUUGAAUAGCAACAUCCCCAAGCAGCGCCGCUUCACAGUGGCACAUACAUGUUUCGAUGUGGACAAUGGAACAUCAGCGGGACGGAGUCCCUUGGAUCCCAUGACCAGCCCAGGGUCUGGGCUGAUUCUCCAAGCAAACUUUGUCCACAGUCAACGCCGGGAGUCCUUCCUGUAUCGAUCUGACAGUGAUUAUGACCUCUCUCCAAAGUCUAUGUCCAGGAACUCCUCGAUUGCCAGUGACAUACAUGGAGAUGACUUGAUUGUGACUCCAUUUGCUCAGGUCUUGGCCAGCCUGCGAACUGUACGAAACAACUUUGCUGCAUUAACUAAUUUGCAAGAUCGAGCACCCAGCAAAAGAUCACCCAUGUGCAACCAACCAUCCAUCAACAAAGCCACCAUCACAGAGGAGGCCUACCAGAAACUGCCAGCGAGACCCUGGAGGAGCUGGACUGGUGUCUGGACCAGCUAGAGACCCUGCAGACCAGGCACUCCGUCAGUGAAUGGCCUCCAACAAG